rnacentral:misc_RNA from 1 species
AAAGCUUCUUAUUACCGUCACACAUAGUUUUAAGGUAGCAUAGUUCACACAGAGCAAAUCAUAGAAAGAAAAAAAAGGUCACAGACCACAACCAAAUUUCUGACUCUUCUUUUUAAGUCAUUCACACAAAGUGAAUGAGAAGAAAGAGUGUCUAAAUGCAAAUGUAAAUUGUUACCGAUGGUUAGACUGAAAGUCAUAGUUUCCCUAGUCCUCCACCUUUAUUUUCAAGCACACGAUAGUAAUAUAAGUUGGAACAACACCCUUCCUUCAGCAGGCUAGCGGCGGAAGCUCCUAACCUGACGUGGUGUCUCUGUAGUGUCUCCGCGAAGUUUGACGAGCGUAUAAACAGCCGCCCCUGCAAGAGCCCCCAGAGUUGGAGCCACUAGGUAUAUCCACAAUGACUUGUAAUUUCCUGCUGCAACAGCCGGCCCCAAAGUUCGUACUGGAUUCAUAGAAGCACCGCUUGACGGCCCGGCAACUAGAAUAUUGAGCAUCACUGUGGCUCCAACGGCUAUGCCAGCCAACUCUCCCACCGCUCUGGUGUCAGUUGCAACAGCAGUGACAACGAAAAGGAGAUUGAAUGUGAUGAGGAAUUCAAGAGCAAAAGCCUGGCCAGUGUUUACUGAAGGGACUGUAACUCCACCAGACAUGAAGGGAUGAAAGACACCUUUGAGUGCAAAAGAAGCACAAAUGGAUGCAGAAACCUGUGCUGCAACAUAGGCUGGCACUUGAACCCACGGAAAGUGACGAAGUGCUGCAAAUGCUAUAGUUAGGGACGGAUUCAGAUGAGCUCCAGAAAUAUGGCCUGUCGACAGAAUCACAAUCAUAACAGCCAGCCCUGAGCAAGCUGCAUUCCCAAUAAGAGAUUCAGCUCCGUUGUACUUUUGGUUCACGAUUGGCCCGGCUGUUGCAGCAAAUAUAAGGAUAAAUGUUCCCACGAAUUCAGCUCCCAACUUUCGUGUGAGGGAGACAUCUGGUGCAGGAAAAUCUGCAAGACAGGUAUGAGGAGCUCCCCAUGUUGGUGCAUCCAAAGGCAAACAUUUGCAUCGAGGCAUUGACUUCCGAUCAUAAGAACCCAUCGAAUCCACUCGUAACGACGGGAAUAACGGAGUCGGCGUACCCGGCGUUGCCGGCGCCGAUAUCCCAUUUUCUAAUUCCGCCAUCUUAG